GGAGUCCAAAAUUCAGCUCAACAUCAACCCUGCUUUGUCGAUCUGUGAGACUACACUAAGAUCAUUACAGCCAUGCUGAAGGUAGCACUUAUUCUGGGAUGCCUCCUGAGCCUCAUUGUGGCUCAACCAAUGGAGCACCAGCGAUUUGCCCGCUCUGACUCUGAUUCAGGGUCAAGCUCAAAUGAGGUGAGAAUCCAUUCUGUUUUCUGACCCCAAAUAAA